rnacentral:rRNA from 1 species
GACGAACGCUGGCGGCGUGCUUAACACAUGCAAGUCGAACGGUAAGGCCCUUCGGGGUACACGAGUGGCGAACGGGUGAGUAACACGUGGGUGAUCUGCCCUGCACUUCGGGAUAAGCCUGGGAAACUGGGUCUAAUACCGGAUAGGACCACUGCCUGCAUGGGUGGUGGUGGAAAGCUUUUGCGGUGUGGGAUGGGCCCGCGGCCUAUGAGCUUGUUGGUGGGGUGAUGGCCUACAAAGGCGACGACGGGUGGCCGGGUUAAGAGGGGGAGCGGCCACACUGGGACUGGGAUAAGGGCCAGAGUCCUACGUGGGGCAGCAGGGGGGAAUAUUGCACAAUGGGCGCAAGGCUGAUGCAGCGACGCCGCGUGAGGGAUGACGGCCUUCGGGUUGUAAACCUCUUUCAGCACCGACGAAGCGCAAGUGACGGUAGGUGCAGAAGAAGGACCGGCCAACUACGUGCCAGCCGCCGCAGUAA